rnacentral:rRNA from 1 species
UACGUAGGGGGCAAGCGUUGUCCGGAAUCAUUGGGCGUAAAGCGCGUGUAGGCGGUCCGGUAAGUCCGCUGUGAAAGUCGGGGGCUCAACCCCUCGGAUGCCGGUGGAUACUGUCGGGCUUGAGUACGGAAGAGGCGAGUGGAAUUCCUGGUGUAGCGGUGAAAUGCGCAGAUAUCAGGAGGAACACCAAUUGCGAAGGCAGCUCGCUGGGACGUUACUGACGCUGAGACGCGAAAGCGUGGGGAGCAAACAGG